UGGUCCUCUUGAGUUAAAUCCCUUUUGUUUCACCUUCGAAAGCAAUGGCUUUUCACUCAACAUUUCAUUGAGCUGAUGUCACAGUUGUUCACUGUACGCCGUCAAGAAGACCGUAAUAAAGGAGCAAGACGCUCAGUUUCCUGGCUCAUGAAUAAAUGAGUUUGGCUUGCUGUUGA